GGGUAAAACAGGAAAUACAACAGAUGAUGAAGAAGAAGAGGAGGUGGAGGAAGAAGAAGAAGAUGAUGAUGAAGAUUCUGGAGCUGAAAUAGAAGAUGAUGAUGAAGAGGGUUUUGAUGAUGAAGAUGAGUUUGAUGAUGAACAUGAUGAUGAUCUUGAUACUGAGGAUAAUGAAUUGGAAGAAUUAGAAGAGAGGGCAGAAGCUAGAAAAAAAACUACUGAAAAACAGGUCUGCACCUGUUCAGCAUUUGGCAGGAUGGCAAGCGGAGGAGCAGCAGGGUGAAACUGACACAGUUCUGUCUGCAGCGGCUCUUUGUGUUGGAGUUGGGAGUUUCGCUGAUCCAGAUGACCUGCCGGGGCUGGCACACUUUUUGGAGCACAUGGUAUUCAUGGGUAGUUUGAAAUAUCCAGAUGAGAAUGGAUUUGAUGCCUUCCUGAAGAAGCAUGGGGGUAGUGAUAAUGCCUCAACUGAUUGUGAACGCACUGUCUUUCAGUUUGAUGUCCAGAGGAAGUACUUCAAGGAAGCCCUUGAUAGAUGGGCCCAGUUCUUCAUCCACCCACUAAUGAUCAGAGAUGCAAUUGACCGUGAAGUUGAAGCUGUUGAUAGUGAAUAUCAACUUGCAAGGCCUUCUGAUGCAAACAGAAAGGAAAUGUUGUUUGGAAGCCUUGCUAGACCUGGACAUCCUAUGGGAAAAUUUUUUUGGGGAAAUGCUGAGACGCUCAAGCAUGAGCCAAAAAAGAAUAAUAUUGAUACACAUGCUAGAUUGAGAGAAUUCUGGAUGCGUUACUACUCUUCUCAUUACAUGACUUUAGUGGUUCAAUCCAAAGAAACACUGGAUACUUUGGAAAAGUGGGUGACUGAAAUCUUCUCUCAGAUACCAAACAAUGGGUUACCCAGACCAAACUUUGGCCAUUUAACGGAUCCAUUUGACACACCAGCAUUUAACAAACUUUAUAGAGUUGUUCCAAUCAGAAAAAUUCAUGCUCUGACCAUCACAUGGGCACUUCCUCCUCAACAGCAACAUUACAGGGUGAAGCCACUUCAUUAUAUAUCCUGGCUGGUUGGACAUGAAGGCAAAGGCAGCAUUCUUUCUUUCCUUAGGAAAAAAUGCUGGGCUCUUGCACUGUUUGGUGGAAAUGGUGAGACAGGAUUUGAGCAAAAUUCUACUUAUUCAGUGUUCAGCAUUUCUAUUACAUUGACUGAUGAGGGUUAUGAACAUUUUUAUGAGGUUGCUUACGCUGUCUUUCAGUAUUUAAAAAUGCUGCAGAAGCUAGGCCCAGAAAAAAGAAUUUUUGAAGAGAUUCGGAAAAUUGAGGAUAAUGAAUUUCAUUACCAAGAACAGACAGAUCCAGUUGAGUAUGUGGAAAACAUGUGUGAGAACAUGCAGCUGUACCCAUUGCAGGACAUUCUCACUGGAGAUCAGCUUCUUUUUGAAUACAAGCCAGAAGUCAUUGGUGAAGCCUUGAAUCAGCUAGUUCCUCAAAAAGCAAAUCUUGUUUUACUGUCUGGUGCUAAUGAGGGAAAAUGUGACCUCAAGGAGAAAUGGUUUGGAACUCAAUAUAGUAUAGAAGAUAUUGAAAACUCUUGGGCUGAACUGUGGAAUAGUAAUUUCGAAUUAAAUCCAGAUCUUCAUCUUCCAGCUGAAAACAAGUACAUAGCCACGGACUUUACGUUGAAGGCUUUCGAUUGCCCGGAAACAGAAUACCCAGUUAAAAUUGUGAAUACUCCACAAGGUUGCCUGUGGUAUAAGAAAGACAACAAAUUCAAAAUCCCCAAAGCAUAUAUACGUUUCCAUCUAAUUUCACCCUUGAUACAGAAAUCUGCAGCAAAUGUGGUCCUCUUUGAUAUCUUUGUCAAUAUCCUUACGCAUAACCUUGCGGAACCAGCUUAUGAAGCAGAUGUGGCACAGCUGGAGUAUAAACUGGUAGCUGGAGAACAUGGUUUAAUUAUUCGAGUGAAAGGAUUUAACCACAAACUACCUCUACUGUUUCAGCUCAUUAUUGACUACUUAGCUGAGUUCAAUUCCACACCAGCUGUCUUUACAAUGAUAACUGAGCAGUUGAAGAAGACCUACUUUAACAUCCUCAUCAAGCCCGAGACUUUGGCCAAAGAUGUACGGCUUUUAAUCCUGGAAUAUGCCCGUUGGUCUAUGAUUGACAAGUACCAGGCUUUGAUGGACGGCCUUUCCCUUGAGUCUCUGCUGAGCUUCGUCAAAGAAUUCAAAUCCCAGCUCUUUGUGGAGGGCCUGGUACAAGGGAAUGUCACAAGCACAGAAUCUAUGGAUUUCCUGAAAUAUGUUGUUGACAAACUAAACUUCAAGCCUCUAGAGCAGGAGAUGCCUGUGCAGUUCCAGGUGGUAGAGCUGCCCAGUGGCCACCAUCUAUGCAAAGUGAAAGCUCUGAACAAGGGUGAUGCCAACUCUGAAGUCACUGUGUACUACCAGUCAGGUACCAGGAGUCUAAGAGAAUAUACGCUUAUGGAGCUGCUUGUGAUGCACAUGGAAGAACCUUGUUUUGACUUUCUUCGAACCAAGCAGACCCUUGGGUACCAUGUCUACCCUACCUGUAGGAACACAUCCGGGAUUCUAGGAUUUUCUGUCACUGUGGGGACUCAGGCAACCAAAUACAAUUCUGAAGUUGUUGAUAAGAAGAUAGAAGAGUUUCUUUCUAGCUUUGAGGAGAAGAUUGAGAACCUCACUGAAGAGGCAUUCAACACCCAGGUCACAGCUCUCAUCAAGCUGAAGGAGUGUGAGGAUACCCACCUUGGGGAGGAGGUGGAUAGGAACUGGAAUGAAGUGGUGACACAGCAGUACCUCUUUGACCGCCUUGCCCACGAGAUUGAAGCACUGAAGUCAUUCUCAAAAUCAGACCUGGUCAACUGGUUCAAGGCCCAUAGAGGGCCAGGAAGUAAAAUGCUCAGCGUUCAUGUUGUUGGAUAUGGGAAGUAUGAACUGGAAGAGGAUGGUACCCCUUCUAGUGAGGAUUCAAAUUCUUCUUGUGAAGUGAUGCAGCUGACCUACCUGCCAACCUCUCCUCUGCUGGCAGAUUGUAUCAUCCCCAUUACUGAUAUCAGGGCUUUCACAACAACACUCAACCUUCUCCCCUACCAUAAAAUAGUCAAAUAAACUGCAGUCGCGUUGGCCUG
rnacentral:sRNA from 1 species